rnacentral:rRNA from 1 species
GACGAGCGCUGGCGGCGUGCUUAACACAUGCAAGUCGAACGAAGAGCGAUGGAAGCUUGCUUCUAUCAAUCUUAGUGGCGAACGGGUGAGUAACGCGUAAUCAACCUGCCCUUCAGAGGGGGACAACAGUUGGAAACGACUGCUAAUACCGCAUACGAUCUAAUCUCGGCAUCGAGGAUAGAUGAAAGGUGGCCUCUACAUGUAAGCUAUCACUGAAGGAGGGGAUUGCGUCUGAUUAGCUAGUUGGAGGGGUAACGGCCCACCAAGGCGAUGAUCGGUAGCCGGUCUGAGAGGAUGAACGGCCACAUUGGGACUGAGACACGGCCCAGACUCCUACGGGAGGCAGCAGUGGGGAAUCUUCCGCAAUGGACGAAAGUCUGACGGAGCAACGCCGCGUGAGUGAUGACGGCCUUCGGGUUGUAAAGCUCUGUUAAUCGGGACGAAAGGCCUUCUUGCGAAUAGUGAGAAGGAUUGACGGUACCGGAAUAGAAAGCCACGGCUAACUACGUG